CAAUAGCGUAUAUUUAAGUUGUUGCAGUUAAAAAGCUCGUAGUUGGAUUUCGGGUGGGACGCAGCGGUCUCGCAUUGCGUUUGUACUGCUGCAGCCCUCCUUCUUGCCGGGGGCGGCCUCUCGGACUUCACUGUCUGGGGGUCAGAAUCGGCGAUGUUACUUUGAGUAAAUUAGAGUGUUCAAAGCAAGCUUACGCUCUGAAUAUAAUAGCAUGGGAUAACACGACAGGACUCUGGCCUAUCGUGUUGGUCUAUAGGACCAGAGUAAUGAUUAAGAGGGACAGUCGGGGGCAUUCGUAUUCCGUUGUCAGAGGUGAAAUUCUUGGAUUUACGGAGGACGAACAUCUGCGAAAGCAUUUGCCAAGGAUGUUUUCAUUGA
rnacentral:rRNA from 1 species